GACGAACGCUGGCGGCGUGCUUAACACAUGCAAGUCGAACGAAGUGGCGAACGGGUGAGUAACGCGUAAUAAACCUGCACUUAAGAGGGGGACAACAGUUGGAAGCGACUGCUACUACCGCAUACUGAAGGAGGGGAUGGCGUCUGAUUAGCUAGUUGGAGGGGUAACGGCCCACCAAGGCGAUGAUCAGUAGCCGGUCUGAGAGGAUGAACGGCCACAUUGGGACUGAGACACGGCCCAGACUCCUACGGGAGGCAGCAGUGGGGAAUCUUCCGCAAUGGACGAAAGUCUGACGGAGCAACGCCGCGUGAGUGAUGACGGCCUUCGGGUUGUAAAGCUCUGUUAAUCGGGACGCGGUACCGGAAUAGAAAGCCACGGCUAACUACGUGCCAGCCGCCGCGGUAAUAC
rnacentral:rRNA from 1 species